rnacentral:rRNA from 1 species
GACGAACGCUGGCGGCGUGCUUAACACAUGCAAGUCGAACGAAGUGGCGAACGGGGGAGUAACGCGUAAUCAACCUGCCCUUCAGUGGGGGACAACAGUGGGAAACGACUGCUAAUACCGCAUACUUCAGGAGGGGUUUGCGUCUGAUUAGCUAGUUGGAGGGGUAACGGCCCACAAAGGCGAUGAACAGUAGCCGUUCUGAGAGGAUGAAAGGCCACAUUGGGACGGAGACACGGCCCAGACUCCUACGGGAGGGAGCCGUGGGGAAUCUUCCGCGAUGGACGAAAGUCUGACGGAGCAACGCCGCGUGAGUGAUGACGGCCUUCGGGUUGUAAAGCUCUGUUAAUCGGGAGGCGGUACCGGAAUAGAAAGCCACGGCUAACUACGUGCCAGCAGCCGCGGUAAUUC